rnacentral:rRNA from 1 species
GUAGGGUGCGAGCGUUAUCCGGAAUCAUUGGGCGUAAAGAGCUCGUAGGCGGUUCAGCAAGUCGGCUGUGAAAUUCCGAGGCUCAACCUCGGAACUGCAGUCGAUACUGCUGUGACUCGAGUCCGGUAGAGGAGAAUGGAAUUCCCGGUGUAGCGGUGAAAUGCGCAGAUAUCGGGAGGAACACCAGUAGCGAAGGCGGUUCUCUGGGCCGGCACUGACGCUGAGGAGCGAAAGCGUGGGGGUAGCAAACAGGAUUAGAUACCCUGGUAGUCCACGCCCGUAAACGUUGGAUACUAGGUGUGGGGUUCCGACCAACGGUCCCCGUGCCGAAGCUAACGCAUUAAGUAUCCCCGCCUGGGGAGUACGGCCGCAAGGCUA